rnacentral:rRNA from 1 species
UACGUAGGGCGCAAGCGUUGUCCGGAAUUAUUGGGCGUAAAGAGCUCGUAGGCGGUGUGUUGCGUCGGCCGUGAAAACCUGCAGCUUAACUGUGGGCUUGCGGUCGAUACGGGCAUCACUGGAGUUCGGCAGGGGAGACUGGAAUUCCUGGUGUAGCGGUGAAAUGCGCAGAUAUCAGGAGGAACACCGGUGGCGAAGGCGGGAUCCUGGGCCAGUACUGACGCUGAGGAGCGAAAGCGUGGGGAGCAAACAGG